rfam:Picea glauca, whole genome shotgun sequence.
CCCGUUGAGUUUAAGCAUAUAAUUAAGCAGAGGAAAAUAAACUUACAAGGUUUCCCCUAAUAACGACGAGCGAACCGGGAAGAGCCCAUCAUGAAAAUAAGGUGGUAGCAUUACCUGAAUUGUAGUCUGUAUAAGUGUCCUUAGCGAUGGACUGGGCCCAAGUCCCCCGGAAGGGGGCGCCUGAGAGGGUGACAACCACGUCGAGCCGGGACCCUGCCACACCAUGAGGCGUUGUCGACGAGUUGGGUUGGGGUUGUUUGGGAAUGCAACCCUAAUCGGGUGGUAAAUUCUGUCCAAGGCUAAAUUUGGGCGAGAGACCGAUAACGAAAAAGUACAACGAGGGAAAGAUGAAAAUGACUUUGAAAAUAGAGUUAAAGAGUGCUUGAAAUUGCUGAGAGGGAAGCAGAUGGAGGCCGACGAUGCAUCUCGGUCGGAUGAGGAAUGAAUCAAGUUGGUCCGCCACUCGAAUCAAGGUGAGAACCAACAUAGGAUGUUGCAUCAGCACAAGCGCGGGUGGAGUACUUCCUGUUGGUUUUUCGUUGUGGCGAUCGAGGAGCGGAGAAAUCAAGGGAUUCCACCAACACUCAUUUAAAUUUAUUUUUAAUCGCUUGCCGAUACUUCUUUUAGUUUGUUGAUAUUGAGCUCGCACAUGAGGUAGUUUAUAUCUAU